UGUCUUCAAUAAGAACUCAAUGGCCAGGAAAUGAGAUCUGUGCCAAAGUGUUACUUAAAAUUCCCGGGUGGGAUGACUUGUUCCUGAAACCAUAGAGUGAGUUGAGAAAAUCAGGCAGAGCCUGAUAAUCCACCCACCAAAAUGAAAAUCACAAUAUUAUGCUGACCAGAAGAUUUUUUAGGAGCACUGAAGAAUGUAUCUCCGUGGGAAAGGCACAAGGUUCUGAAGUCUCUGUUCUUCCGAUUUUUGCUCCAGGGUUGAGGAAGGAACCCAGGGCCUCAAACAUGCUAGGACAAAUCAAAUUUGGAUGGUUUGAGUGGCUUUCCUAAGGUUCCCAAUGAAUAAGUAACAAGGUAGGAUAAGAGCCCAAAUCCAUCACAGGAAGAGCCUCGGUCACCUGCAAUCCAUCACACCCAAUAGGAAAGGUGUCUGGCAAUGAAAGCUGUUCUCCACACACAGGCCAAACUGCAGAAGCUUAUGAAGUGGUAUACAGGCAGUUAUUAGAGAUUCUGAACAAGGCUGACUGAUCACCUGCCAAUGCCAUCAUGGUUUCCUCUG